UACGUAGGGUGCAAGCGUUAAUCGGAAUUACUGGGCGUAAAGCGUGCGCAGGCGGUUUUGUAAGUUUGUCGUGAAAGCCCCGGGCUCAACCUGGGAAUUGCAUCUGUGACUGCAUAGUUAGGAGUACGGUAGAGGGGGAUGGAAUUCCGCGUGUAGCAGUGAAAUGCGUAGAUAUGCGGAGGAACACCGAUGGCGAAGGCAAUCCCCUGGACCUGUACUGACGCUCAUGCACGAAAGCGUGGGGAGCAAACAGG
rnacentral:rRNA from 1 species